GAUGAAGAACGUAGCGAAAUGCGAUAAGUAGUGUGAAUUGCAGAAUUUAGUGAAUCAUCGAAUCUUUGAACGCACAUUGCGCCCUAUAGUAUUCUGUAGGGCAUGCCUGUUCGAGCGUUAUUGAGACCUCAAGCUCUGCUUGGAAAUGGGCGCUUGUCUUGCCUUGCAGACUCGCCUUAAAACCAUUGGCAGCUGAUUUACAAUGUUUGGUGCACAGUACAUGAGCCCAAGUGUUGCAAUGAGUGGCCCAAAAGUAUACAAUAGAAGCUUAACCUCGGAUCAGGUAGGGAUACCCGCUGAACUUAAGCAUAUCAAUAAGCGGAGGA
rnacentral:misc_RNA from 1 species